AGNANANCAUUAUACAGCGACNGCGNANGGCUCACUAUAUAACUUAUCGUUUAUUUGAUAUCACAUUACCACACUUGGAUAACCGGGAUAUUUCUAGAUCUAAUACGUGCAAAAUCUCCCCAUUGGAGAGGGUGUAUUUAUAUUAUUUAAAAACAAAGCCCUUCUGGGCUCUUCGUGGAAAUAUUGAAAAUUUUCCAAUCUCANGGGCCUGUGCCCCCGAAGGGUUCUUUCAAUUUUUCCCCCAUCUACUUUCCAAGCGCGGGNGUUGUGUCCUCGGGNACCANCGGNGCGGNGGGGAAUAANGGGUCAACGGGUANAGGGGANUUAUACUAGAUACGGGUNAGACCAUUCAUUCGAAUUUCUGCCCCAUCAACUCUCGAUGGUAGGAUAGAGGCCUACCAUGGUCGCAACGGGNAACGGGGNANUA
rnacentral:rRNA from 1 species